rnacentral:rRNA from 1 species
GGAUCCAGACUUUGAUCAUGGCUCAGGAUGAACGCUAGCUACAGGCUUAACACAUGCAAGUCGAGGGGAAACGACAUCGAAAGCUUGCUUUUGAUGGGCGUCGACCGGCGCACGGGUGAGUAACGCGUAUCCAACCUGCCCACCACUUGGGGAUAACCUUGCGAAAGUAAGACUAAUACCCAAUGACGUCUCUAGAAGACAUCUGAAAGAGAUUAAAGAUUUAUCGGUGAUGGAUGGGGAUGCGUCUGAUUAGCUAGUUGGCGGGGUAACGGCCCACCAAGGCAACGAUCAGUAGGGGUUCUGAGAGGAAGGUCCCCCACAUUGGAACUGAGACACGGUCCAAACUCCUACGGGAGGCAGCAGUGAGGAAUAUUGGUCAAUGGACGAGAGUCUGAACCAGCCAAGUAGCGUGCAGGAUGACGGCCCUAUGGGUUGUAAACUGCUUUUAUAAGGGAAUAAAGUGAGUCUCGUGAGACUUUUUGCAUGUACCUUAUGAAUAAGGACCGGCUAAUUCCGUGCCAGCAGCCGCGGUAAUACGGAAGGUCCGGGCGUUAUCCGGAUUUAUUGGGUUUAAAGGGAGCGUAGGCCGGAGAUUAAGCGUGUUGUGAAAUGUAGACGCUCAACGUCUGCACUGCAGCGCGAACUGGUUUCCUUGAGUACGCACAAAGUGGGCGGAAUUCGUGGUGUAGCGGUGAAAUGCUUAGAUAUCACGAAGAACUCCGAUUGCGAAGGCAGCUCACUGGAGCGCAACUGACGCUGAAGCUCGAAAGUGCGGGUAUCGAACAGGAUUAGAUACCCUGGUAGUCCGCACGGUAAACGAUGGAUGCCCGCUGUUGGUCUGAAUAGGUCAGCGGCCAAGCGAAAGCAUUAAGCAUCCCACCUGGGGAGUACGCCGGCAACGGUGCAACUCAAAGGAAUUGACGG